CUCUCUCCAACUCCUUCCCUCAGCCGCACCCGCACAACUCUCCCUCUCCUUCUCUCUCGAGCAGGCGUGGAUCGAGUGCAGGGGCAUGGCGCCGAUGGCGCGGCACAUCCGGCGGCGGCGCAGGGCCUAGAGCCUGGAUGGACACGGGGCGCGGUACCUCAGGCGGCGGCGCUGCGAGGCAGGUGCCUCCGGCAGCAGCACAGGGACAUUUGGUCCCUCCGACGGCGGCGUGGUUGUGCAGGGUCCUCCGGCGGUGGUGCGGGUCCUAGUGCCCCAAUGGACGCGGUCGUCCGCGAUAUAUAGCUUCGGAGUACUUCUUUUGGAGCUGUCGAUAGGUAGAAUGCCGGUAGACCACAAUGCCUAGAGGCUAGAGGGCAGUAAAGCCUGGUAACUUUGGACCUCAACAACCAUCCAUAGGAGUACUGAAACUCUAAAGAUUGGUAUUAUCUUCUAUUUUCUGCUCAGUUCUUGACUGCUACUAUCUUCAUUUGUUUGCUUGAUCCUUGACUGUACUUGACUAUUUUAGUUCAAGCAUUUCACUAGUACAGGUGAAUUACAUUUCUUUUUAGUUUCAGUUCAGAUGUAUGACAUGGUUACAGUCAAGUACAAUCACCUAUCUUAUUUGAGAAGUACAGGACUAAUGUUUAGAACGUUUAUUUUCUUUAGCAGUAUGUGACAGGCAUUCUCUUGUUUCUCUACUUUUGUUUCCCCAGGAUGCUAAUGCUUCCCUUAUCGGACCUGCAGGCUUGAGCUUGCUUCAAGUUGCAAUCACUACUUUUAGUAGCACAAGUCACAUGCUUCCACAACAAGAUUGCCCUGGAUAGUCUCUAGAGGAAGUUGAUGUGAUGGUGAGCUUACCGAGUGAGCUGCUGUAAACUUUUGGUUAAAUUUGUGAAAAUAAAUGUAUCUUUAUUGAAGUUGGGCUCUAAUUAUUUCUGUGGAAUGAACUUUUGAAGCUCAGUAUGACAUUUGUAAUAAUUGUUGAUCAA